CUAUGUCUGCAUGCACAAAGGGAAAACUGGACGCCAAGUCGCCAACCCAAGUCACGCUUUUACGGUAAACGUGGCACCGCGUUUUCUCUCUCCCCCGAGGCCCUCUCUCUUCGUCGCCGUUUACCAGUAUACGCAUACAGUCUCUCGCCACUGAAACCCCUUUUUUUCUCCAUUUGCAACGCUUUUCCCUUUUUUUCCUCUCUUCCUCAGCGCACGAAACCCCGAUUUCGAUCAAAACGCUUCGCAAGUAAACAUUCAAAAUCCAAAGAAGAGAAACUAUUCAAAACGCGAAAUCCCAUCAACAACACUGUUUUGAGUUUUCAUUAGAUGGAUUUAACUUGCCAUGAAUCACUUACCACGAUUUUUAGGCCGUAGGAAUGAUAAUAAGAAGCAAGACGGAAUGGGCGUGGAUCCCAAGAAGGCCCGAAUGUCAAAGCCCCGUCUCGAGCGCCGCAACGCCGCCAAGCACUUCGAUUACGACGCCGGCUCAUCGUCUUCGUCGUUCGAUGACUACUCCACUUUCUCCUCUCACGGCAACGGCGUUUCGGUGCUCUACACGCGCUCGAUGGAGUUCUACGAUCACAAGAGCUUCAGAAUCGAAGGCGUCGAGGGCGAGUUCGACCGGAUUUGCCAGAGCCUCGGCCUCUCUGGCCCAGAGGACUUCGCAAUUCCCGCGGCGGCUUGGGAGGCCAUGAAGGUUCGGUCUUCUUCGGAUAUUCUUCCGAGGUUGAAGCUUCGCGACUUGGAUGAAGUCAAGGAGAGUGAAGAAAUUGGGAUGAAGGAAGGUGAAUUUGGGGAUAGUUCCCAACCUAAGGCUCCUAAUCCGGUUACGGUUUCUGAUCAAUGCGUUCAAGAGAUUGCUUGCAGAAGUUGCUUCACUCUCGGUGGUUGCGUUGGCGGAGAUGAUGGAGUUGAAGUUGGGGAUAAUUGUGAGGAUAGCGUUACGGUCUGGGCUUCUGAUGAAUCUGUAAAAGACGGCGGUGAUCGCGGAAACUACAACAGUACUGUAACUGCUGAUACUGGCUGCAGCAGUGGCAGUGGCAGUGGCGGAGGUAUCAAGGGCUUUCGGCCCCCUAUGCUGAAACCAGCGCCGGGGAGUAGGGUUUCGGUUGUGGACAACGCGUCCUCCACAUGGGACCUGUUGAGGGAUUUUCCUUCACAAGGUGAAGGGAAGGAGAAUUUCGUGGAAUUCAGUGAUUCAGAUGAUGAUCAUCGAGGAUUGCAUGGUGAAUUAGAGAAUAGAGAAAAAGAGGAAGAGGAAGAGGAAGGAGGUAGAGGGGGUGAUGGAAAGAGAGAAGAAGAAGAGAAUUCAUUGAGAUUCGCAGAGAUUGUUGCGGAGCUUACUGGGUCAUGUUCUUUCACAACUUCGAAUGGAGAUGAUUCUUCUAGCACUACCACGGAUCCUAGGUCCAAUAAUAUAUCUCCUAAUGGAAGAUUUAAGCGUAUUAUUACCCACUGGCAGAAGGGUGAUCUUUUGGGUCGCGGUUCCUUUGGGUCUGUCUACGAAGGAAUUGCAGGGGAUGGGUUCUUCUUUGCUGUAAAAGAAGUUUCACUGCUUGAUCAAGGGAAUCAGGGAAAGCAAAGUGUCUAUCAAUUGGAACAGGAGAUUGCACUUUUGAGUCAAUUUCAACAUGAGAAUAUAGUUCAAUACUAUGGUACAGAAAUGGAUGACUCAAAGCUGUAUAUCUUUCUUGAGCUCGUAACCAAAGGUUCUCUUGCAAGCCUCUACCAUAGGUAUACCCUUCGAGAUUCCCAAGUAUCUGCAUAUACUAGACAGAUUCUGCACGGCCUAAAGUAUCUUCAUGAUAGAAAUGUCAUCCACAGGGAUAUUAAAUGUGCAAAUAUUUUGGUCGAUGCAAAUGGAUCUGUCAAGCUUGCCGAUUUUGGAUUGGCAAAGGCAACCAAAUUGAAUGAUGUUAAAUCAAUGAAGGGAACAGCAUUUUGGAUGGCCCCAGAGGUUGUGAAAGGAAAAGCCCGAGGUUAUGGGCUUCCAGCUGAUAUAUGGAGUUUGGGGUGCACUGUGUUGGAGAUGUUGACGGGGAAAAUCCCAUAUUCUCACUUGGAAUGCAUGCAGGCACUGUUUAGAAUUGGAAAAGGUGAACCACCUCCGGUACCUGAUUCUCUUUCAAGAGAUGCAAAUGAUUUCAUCUUGCAGUGCCUAAAAGUGAAUCCAGAUGAUCGUCCCACGGCUACUCAACUCUUAACACAUUCAUUUGUCCAACGGCCACUUUCUCAGUCAUCUGGCUCUGCAUCUCCUUUCAUUCCUAGAAGACGGGGUUAAACCUGUGAUGUCCAACUAUGAAAAAUACUGAAGGUAUGACGCAGUGUCAUGUGGCGAAGGCCCCCGUGGAUUGGUACGCGUGGGUUACGUCGGACAUAAAGGACACUCCUUCGCAAAUAACCGUGGAAGAGUUCACGGAGUUCCGCCAAAACGACCAAUUGGGCGGAGGAGGUCCCGGGGAAGAUAAUUACGACGUAUUCAUUCCCACGGAUCGGGAACAGAUCUGCCACCUCAACUUAAACACUCCCCGGGUUGCUGAUUGGAUGUGGUUGUACAUAGCCAUGUUCGCCAGCUUGGGGGUUCGUAUACCCUUUUCUCCCUUCCAAAUGGUGCUAUUGAACCAAUAUGACAUUGCGCCGUCGCAACUUCAUCCAAUUAGUUGGGCCUCCAUCCGAUGUUUCGAGAUUGUCUGCGAAUAUCUCGAGCUACUGGUCUCGGUGGAGGUGUUCUUGUGGUUCUUCGUCCUAAUAAAUCCUUCCAAGGAAGGGAGAGCCAAGAAAGGGUAUAUGUCUUUCCAGAAAGCUCAGGGUAGGCAAAUUUUUGGGUUGUUCGGAGACUUCUUUCAUGGUUUCAAAGAGAAAUAUUUCAAGGUGCGGCCUCUCGAGGGUCGGCAUCCCUUUUGGUUAACUUUGGAAGGGAAACGCCGCAUCCCGACUUACUGGAGCUUUGGGCUGGGUCCAAUGCUUUCACUAAGGUGACUUACAAAGGCCUGACCCCUCAAAAUAAAAAGGUUGCCGACGUACUGUUGGUUAUUUUUGGCAAAAACAAUGUUAACCCCUACCUUCUUAUGGGUGAUCGUUAUAUGGGUAUGGGCUAUAGAGUGUCGAUGGCUGGUGAGUAGGUUGGACUUGAAACAUUAUUUCAAACGUUUCUCGUUGGCGAUGGAAGCUCUGCUACUCAGACGAACGAGCCGAUGCACUCUCCUGCUGUUGAAGUGCAAUGCUAACCUACCCAAGGGGAAGUGAUUGGAACCAGCACUGGACCGGUCUCUCGACCAGUGGUCGAAGAGAGAGUGCGGGGCCCGAAGUCGUCAUUGUUGACAACCCGAGAAAGAAGAAGUCGACUUCGAGCCUUGAGGGAGCCCUUACUGUGAUGGAAAAGAACUUCGAUGCUGGGAAUUUCAUCGACUCUCAACUCCUGCCCAGCACAGAGGACUUUUUCCAUGGCGGCGAUCUUGCCUCUCAGGCCAAGUGGGUGUACCGCACCUUGCUCCGGGCAGCCGCUAUAGCAAGGAAAGCGGAACCCGUUCUGGCGGGGGCUCAGACUCUGGAGAAUAAGCUUCAGUCAUCCGUCAAUGCUAAUGAGAAGUACAAACUUGAGGUGAAGUCGCUACAGACACAGCUGGCCGCCGCUGAGGGGAAGGUGAAGACUUCUGAUGCGACGGUUGUGCGACUUACCGAGCGAGAGCUUACUUUGGAAGGUCAGCUCAGCGUCGCGCAGAGUCAGGUUAAGGAGCUGGAAAAGAAGCGUGACGUAGAUGUCUCGUCUACAAAUGCAGCCAAGGCCGAGGCCGCCGAUAUGAAGAAAAAUAGCAGAGAUAGUGAAGCAUGGUCGCAAUGCCAUCAGGGCUAUCGAAGAGGCUAUUAAGGCUCAAGUGAAGCUGCUGUCUCCCGACUUUAAUGUCUCAGCUAUCAUCGCCUUGAAGACUAUUAAAAAUGGCAAGAUCGUUGAUCUCCUGAAGAAGUAUGACUUGUUGCUUUGUAGUCUUUUUUUUUUGCCGCUUUUGGCUGCGUUAUGUACUUUUGGUCUUGUAGUUUGUCUUUUGUGAAACAUUUUAUCGCUUCGUCGCUUAAUCGUUGACAAAACGAAGCCGGAAAGUGACUUUAUUUUCCAAUUAUUUGUUAUGGCAACAGUUUCGUA